CUCCUUCGCCGGCUCUGAUUUGAGGUCCUCGGGGUCCAACACGUCCACCCGCAGCCCCCCAAAGGCCUUCCUGAACUCCCCAUAGAUCUGCUCGUCCACUUUGGUGAGCGUCAGGAAUUUGGGGUCCACCGAGGAGAUGAGAUUGAAGUAGACCUCGGCGUGCUGGGAGGCGCGCAUCGCCCACAGCAUCUCCACGUUGGGAUCGUUCCCAUACGCCUCAGCCGGCAGCGAUAACGCGUGAGCGGCCGCGGCGGCCUCACGGGCCCCCAGCGCCGCCGCCAUCGCUCCACGCCGGAGGGAGUGCGCAUGCGCGUGGG
rnacentral:lncRNA from 1 species